UACGUAGGGUGCAAGCGUUAAUCGGAAUUACUGGGCGUAAAGCGUGCGCAGGCGGUUAUGUAAGACAGGUGUGAAAUCCCCGGGCUUAACCUGGGAACUGCAUUUGUGACUGCAUAGCUAGAGUACGGUAGAGGGGGAUGGAAUUCCGCGUGUAGCAGUGAAAUGCGUAGAUAUGCGGAGGAACACCCGAUAGCGAAGGCAGCCCCCUGGGUCAAGAUUGACGCUCAUGCACGAAAGCGUGGGGAGCAAACAGG
rnacentral:rRNA from 1 species